GGGAACAGAGGGAGCAUGUUGGGCCCAGAAGGGCCCAAAGGAGACCGGGGCAAGACUGGUCUCCCUGGUUUUACUGGUAAUGAUGGCUCACAUGGCCACCCUGGAGCAGGCGGUGAGCCUGGUUGCUGGGAGCUGAUGGCUGUAACGGGACAAGGGGUCGACCAGGAGUCGAUGGUAUUCCUGGUUUUGGUGGUCUCCAUGG